rnacentral:rRNA from 1 species
GUCUACGGCUAUACUACCCUGAACGCGCCCGAUCUCGUCUGAUCUCGGAAGCUAAGCAGGGUCGGGCCUGGUUAGUACUUGGAUGGAAGAGAAGUCAGGGAAGAUC